UACGUAGGGUGCAAGCGUUAUCCGGAAUUAUUGGGCGUAAAGAGCUCGUAGGCGGUUUGUCGCGUCUGCUGUGAAAACCUAAGGCUCAACCUUGGGCUUGCAGUGGGUACGGGCAGACUAGAGUGCGGUAGGGGAGACUGGAAUUCCCGGUGUAGCGGUGAAAUGCGCAGAUAUCAGGAGGAACACCGAUGGCGAAGGCAGAUCUCUGGGCCGUAACUGACGCUGAGGAGCGAAAGCAUGGGGAGCGAACAGG
rnacentral:rRNA from 1 species